rnacentral:rRNA from 1 species
CCAAGGCUAAAUACUCCUGACUGACCGAUAGUGAACCAGUACCGUGAGGGAAAGGCGAAAAGAACCCCGGCGAGGGGAGUGAAAAAGAACCUGAAACCGUGUACGUACAAGCAGUGGGAGCACAGGUUUACCUGUGUGACUGCGUACCUUUUGUAUAAUGGGUCAGCGACUUAUAUUCUGUAGCAAGGUUAACCGUAUAGGGGAGCCGAAGGGAAACCGAGUCUUAACCGGGCGUUAAGUUGCAGGGUAUAGACCCGAAACCCGGUGAUCUAGCCAUGGGCAGGUUGAAGGUUGGGUAACACUAACUGGAGGACCGAACCGACUAAUGUUGAAAAAUUAGCGGAUGACCUGUGGCUGGGGGUGAAAGGCCAAUCAAACCGGGAGAUAGCUGGUUCUCCCCGAAAGCUAUUUAGGUAGCGCCUCGUGAAUUCAUCUCCGGGGGUAGAGCACUGUUUCGGCUAGGGGGCCAUCCCGGCUUACCAACCCGAUGCAAACUGCGAAUACCGGAGAAUGUUAUCACGGGAGACACACGGCGGGUGCUAACGUCCGUCGUGAAGAGGGAAACAACCCAGACCGCCAGCUAAGGUCCCAAAGUCAUGGUUAAGUGGGAAACGAUGUGGGAAGGCCCAGACAGCCAGGAUGUUGGCUUAGAAGCAGCCAUCAUUUAAAGAAAGCGUAAUAGCUCACUGGUCGAGUCGGCCUGCGCG